rnacentral:rRNA from 1 species
AUUGAACGCUGGCGGCAGGCUUAACACAUGCAAGUCGAGCGGAGUGAUGGUGCUUGCACUAUCACUUAGCGGCGGACGGGUGAGUAAUGCUUAGUAAUCUGACUAUUAGUGGGGGACAACAUCUCGAAAGGGAUGCUAAUACCGCAUACGUCCUCCGGGAUAAAGCAGGGGAUCACUUGUGACCUUGCGCUAAUUGAUGAGCCUAAGUCGGAUUAGCUAGUUGGUGGGGUAAAGGCCUACCAAGGCGACGAUCUGUAGCGGGUCUGAGAGGAUGAUCCGCCAAACUGGGACUGAGGCACGGCCCAGACUCCUACGGGAAGCAGCAGUGGGGAAUAUUGGACAAUGGGGGGAACCCUGAUCCAGCCAUGCCGCGUGUGUGAAGAAGGCCUUAUGGUUGUAAAGCACUUUAAGCGAGGAGGAGGCUCUUUUGGUUAAUACCCAAGAUGAGUGGACGUUACUCGCAGAAUAAGCACCGGCUAACUCUGUGCCAGCCGCCGCAGUAA